rnacentral:rRNA from 1 species
AUGUGAUCGUCUCUCGCAUAUCAAUAAGCGGAGGAAAAGAAACUAACAAGGAUUCCCUUAGUAACGGCGAGUGAAGCGGGAAGAGCUCAAAUUUGAAAUCUUCAAGGUUUUACCUUGACGAAUUGUAGUUUAAAGAAGUGUUUUCUGUUGAAGUUUUGGUAAAAGUUCUUUGGAAUAGGACAUCAUAGAGGGUGAGAAUCCCGUAUUUGACCAUUAUUUUCAGCUGUGUGAUACACUUUCAAAGAGUCGGAUUGUUUGGGAAUGCAGUCCAAAAUGGGCGGUAAAUUUCAUCUAAAGCUAAAUAUUGGCGAGAGACCGAUAGCGAACAAGUACCGUGAGGGAAAGAUGAAAAGAACUUUGAAAAGAGAGUUAAACAGUACGUGAAAUUGUCAAAAGGGAAGCGUUUGACACCAGUGUUGUUUUCUCGAAAAUCAAUUAAAAAGAGUUUAGAUUUUGUUGUGUAUUGACCUUAACAGCUUGCAUUUCAAUUUUCUUGCUUUUUUUAAUGCACUUUUCGUUUAACAAGUCAACAUCAGUUUCUUUUGUUGUAAAAAGGUCAUUGGAAGGUGGCUUUCUUUUCGGAGAAAGUGUUUAUAGCCUUUGACUCCUGCAAUCGGAGAGACUGAGGUCUGCAGCGUAGAUCCUUCGGGGUUAGAUACAUUUGUGCUAAGUUAUAGCUUUUUAUAGACAACUUGUUGACUAUGAUUAGUCUUGUAGCUUACUCGCUUAUGCUAUUUUACCUACGCUUAGGAUGUUGAAGAUGUAGCACAUCAU